UACGUAGGGUGCGAGGCGUUGUCCGGAAUUUAUUGGGCGUAAAGAGCUCGUAGGCGGUGUGUCACGUCGUUCGUGAAAACCUGCAGCUUAACUGUGGGCGUGCGGUCGAUACGGGCAUCACUGGAGUUUCGGGACAGGGGAGACUGGAAUUCCUGGUGUAGCGGUGAAAUGCGCAGAUAUCAGGAGGAACACCGGUGGCGAAGGCGGGGUCUCUGGGCCGAUGACUGACGCUGGAGGAGCGAAAGCGUGGGGGAGCAAACAGG
rnacentral:rRNA from 1 species